GACGAACGCUGGCGGCGUGCCUAAUACAUGCAAGUUGAGCGCUGAAGGUUGGUACUUGUACCAACUGGAUGAGCAGCGAACGGGUGAGUAACGCGUGGGGAAUCUGCCUUUGAGCGGGGGACAACAUUUGGAAACGAAUGCUAAUACCGCAUGAAAACUUUAAACACAAGUUUUAAGUUUGAAAGAUGCAAUUGCAUCACUCAAAGAUGAUCCCGCGUUGUAUUAGCUAGUUGGUGAGGUAAAGGCUCACCAAGGCGAUGAUACAUAGCCGACCUGAGAGGGUGAUCGGCCACAUUGGGACUGAGACACGGCCCAAACUCCUACGGGAGGCAGCAGUAGGGAAUCUUCGGCAAUGGACGAAAGUCUGACCGAGCAACGCCGCGUGAGUGAAGAAGGUCUUCGGAUCGUAAAACUCUGUUGGUAGAGAAGAACGUUGGUGAGAGUGGAAAGCUCAUCAAGUGACGGUAACUACCCAGAAAGGGACGGCUAACUACGUG
rnacentral:rRNA from 1 species